UACGUAGGGGGCGAGCGUUGUCCGGAUUCAUUGGGCGUAAAGAGCUCGUAGGCGGCUUGGCAAGUCGGGUGUGAAAACUUCAGGCUCAACCUGGAGCGGCCACUCGAUACUGCCAUGGCUUGAGUCCGGUAGGGGACCACGGAAUUCCUGGUGUAGCGGUGAAAUGCGCAGAUAUCAGGAGGAACACCGGUGGCGAAGGCGGAUCUCUGGGCCGUAACUGACGCUGAGGAGCGAAAGCAUGGGGAGCGAACAGG
rnacentral:rRNA from 1 species